GGAUUGGUGCCUUCGGGAACUGUGAGACAGGUGCUGCAUGGCUGUCGUCAGCUCGUGUUGUGAAAUGUUGGGUUAAGUCCCGCAACGAGCGCAACCCUUAUCCUUUGUUGCCAGCGGUCCGGCCGGGAACUCAAAGGAGACUGCCAGUGAUAAACUGGAGGAAGGUGGGGAUGACGUCAAGUCAUCAUGGCCCUUACGACCAGGGCUACACACGUGCUACAAUGGCGCAUACAAAGAGAAGCGACCUCGCGAGAGCAAGCGGACCUCAUAAAGUGCGUCGUAGUCCGGAUUGGAGUCUGCAACUCGACUCCAUGAAGUCGGAAUCGCUAGUAAUCGUGGAUCAGAAUGCCACGGUGAAUACGUUCCCGGGCCUUGUACACACCGCCCGUCACACCAUGGGAGUGGGUUGCAAAAGAAGUAGGUAGCUUAACCUUCGGGAGGGCGCUUACCACUUUGUGAUUCAUGACUGGGGUGAAGUCGUAACAAGGUAACCGUAGGGGAACCUGCGGUUGGAUCAC
rnacentral:rRNA from 1 species